GCGAUGGCCUUAGUAACUGCGAGUGAAGCGGCAAAAGCUCAAAUUUGAAAUCUGGCGUCUUUGGCGUCCGAAUUGUAAUUUGGAGAGGCAUCUUCGGUGAUGGCGCUGUCCUAAGUUCCUUGGAACAGGAUGACAUANAGGGUGAGAUCCCCGUGCCUGGGUGGCUGUCCAUCUCCAUGUGAAGUGUCUUCGACNAGUCGAGUUGUUUGGGAAUGCAGCUCAAAAUGGGUGGUAAAUUUCAUCUNAAGCUCAAUAUUGGCGAGAGACCGAUNGCGCACAAGUUGAGUGAUCGAAAGAUGAAAAGCACUUUGAAAAGAGAGUUAAAAAGUACGUGAAAUUGUUNAAAGGGAAGCGCUUGAGACCAGACUCGAUUUGUGGUGAUCAGCUGUGCUUCUGUACAGUGCACUUGCCACAGAUUGGGCCAGCAUCGGUUCUGACGGUGGGAUAAAAGGUUGAGAAUGUGGCUUCUUCGGGGAGUGUUAUAGCUUCGCUCACAAUGCCACCAGUUGGGACCGAGGACCGCGCUUUGGCUAGGAUGCUGGCGUAAUGGUCUUAAGCGACCCGUCUUGAAACACGGACCAAGGAGUCUAACUAUCUAUGCGAGUGUUCGGGUGGAAAACCCUUGCGCGUAAUGAAAGUGAACGGAGGUGGGAACCCGCAAGGGUGCACCAUCGACCGAUCCUGAUGUCUUCGGAAGGAUUUGAGUAAGAGCAUAGCUGUUGGGACCCGAAAGAUGGUGAACUAUGCCUGAAUAGGGUGAAGCCAGAGGAAACUCUGGUGGAGGCUCGCAGCGGUUCUGACGUGCAAAUCGAUCGUCAAAUUUGGGUAAAGGGGCGAAAGAC
rnacentral:rRNA from 1 species